UGUAGCUCAGUGGUAGAGCGCUUGCCUUGCAUGGGUGAGACCCUGGGUUCGAUCCCCAGCA
rnacentral:tRNA from 1 species